rnacentral:rRNA from 1 species
UACGUAGGGUGCAAGCGUUGUCCGGAAUUAUUGGGCGUAAAGAGCUCGUAGGCGGUCUGUCGCGUCGGCUGUGAAAUCCCGGAGCUCAACUCCGGGUCUGCAGUCGAUACGGGCAAACUGGAGUACUGCAGGGGAGACUGGAAUUCCUGGUGUAGCGGUGAAAUGCGCAGAUAUCAGGAGGAACACCGGUGGCGAAGGCGGGUCUCUGGGCCGAUACUGACGCUGAGGAGCGAAAGCGUGGGGAGCGAACAGG